GCCAGGCCCUGUGGCUCACGCCUGUAAUCCCAGCACUUUGGGAGGCCGAGGCAGGCUGAACAUGAGGUCAGGAGCUCGAGACCAUCCUGGCUAACAUGAUGAAACCCGGUCUCUACUAAAAAAUACAAAAAAUUAGCCAGGCAUGGUGGCAGGCACCUGUAGUCCCAGCUACUCGGGAGGCUGAGGCAGGACAAUGGCGUGAACCUGGGAGGUGGAGGUUGCAGUGAGCCGAGAUGGCGCCACUGCACUCUAGCCUGGCCGACAGAGCAAGACCACAUCUCAAAAAAAAAAAAAAAAAACCAAUAAAUUAGUAAAACUCUCUUUUUCCCUUUUUUUUUUUUGACAGGGUCUCACUCUGUUGCCCAGGCUGAAAUGCAGUAGCACAAACAUAGCUCACUGUAGCCUCGACCUCCUGGUUUCAAGCCCCCCAUGUAGCUGGGACCACAGGCACAUGCUACCCUGCCUGGCUUUUUUUAUUUUUCAUAUAUUUGUCCAAUGCCAUAUGCAAUUUUUUUUUUUUUUUGAGACAGCAUCUUGCCAUGUUGCCCAGGCUGCUCUCAUAUUCCAGGGUUCAAGAAAUCCUCCCACCUUGGCCUCCCAAAGUACUGGGAUUACAGUAAAACUCUUAAAACAUUUUCAAUAAUUGAGUUCCUUGAAAUUUUUUACUGGAAGAAAAGAGAAAUAAACAGGACCUACAACUCAGUACAUUACUCAGAAAACUACUAACAGGAAUUUCUGAAAAUAAUUUUUGCAUUUAUCACUUCAACUUAGUUAUAAUUCAAGAAUUUAAAAAUUAUUAUUUUCUGAUACAUUUAAUUUUCCUGCCAAAGUACAAAAAACAUGUUUUAAAAUAAAAUUUAAAAUUGAAAUAAGUGGGAGCCAACUAACUAAACUUAACUUUUAAAAGAACAAUUUUUCCAUGGGUAAGUACCUUUAAAGGACACAAGCUGAUAGGGUGGGAAUAAUUAUAAAGAAAUUUCCACCACGCAGUAUAGAAUUCACAGUCAUCAGCAAAUCCCUUCUUUCACCCUUUGCUUUCUUGUUAUUACUGAAACCUGACUCUCCCUUAAGGACACAUUUUCCUUUCAGCCUGUUUAAGUAAUAGCUGUUUUUUCUCCCACAUCCUUGAACCACUGAAUCUCAAGGAGGCACAGUUCUCCUCCUCAUUGCCCUUUUCAGACCAUUCUCCCGUUCUUCUCCCUAAAUGCCUCUAGCUUUGAUUCUCUUAUCUUAAGCUAUAAUGCACUAACUUACUUUCAUCCAACUCCAAAGUCAUGCCCCCUAAUUCUUAAUGAUCUUUAGCUCCUGGCUCUAGAGUUCACUCCAUCUAAGACAAGUACUCCUGCCUUGAUUUCAAAAUCUUUGACCUCCUCUCUUCUCAUGAGCUAGCCCUCCUCUUUACCUCAGCCACUCACUCCCAGAGUCAUUAUUUAUUAUCACAAUUCUUCCAUAAUCUCAAUUUCAUGCAUUCUACUUGCUGGCAAGACCUCCUAUCCUUCCAGUUCAUUCCCUGGUAUUCUCAAUCCAUAAACACCUACAACCCUCUAAUCCUUUUCAUUCCCUUACGGUCACCAUCAAAACUUGCCCAAUACACUCUCUUCUCUCUUUAUUCAGAUUCAAUUCUGUGUCAGCUAUUAUAAUUGCUUAUAAUCACUCUCUUACAUCCAUCUUCAAUUCCCUUCCCCCUUGUCCACUUUGACCCAUUCACUUGGUGAGACUACACUCAUCCCUAGUUAUUAAUAAAUCAAGCUCUCUGACUACUCACAUCUGCACCCAGCAGCUGAACAUGGCUAGAAAAAAUAUACAACCAUGCCACUGUUUUCAUUUCAUUUUAAAUUCAAUGCCAAAGAUUCAGGUGUAUGUUUAAAGCUGUUGGCAAUUAAAAUUGUUGGCAAUCAUAUUUUCCUAGUCCAUUUACCCUUCUACUCUCUUAGGACACCAAUCACAUUUUCCUCUAACCACAAACUUCAAAUGUCUUCUCUGUUAUCCUCAUUUUCAACUGAUGACAUCACUUCCUAACUUUUCUGAGAAAAAUUAAAAGAACUUCCAAGAACGACCAGAAUUCUAGACUCAUAAAUCCAACCACCUACUUGACAUCUCCUCUUAGAUGUCUGACAUUCACAUUAAUAUGUUCAAAAUGAAUUCUGGCUGGCUUUCAGGAAGACAAACACACUCUUCCCUGUUUCUCCCACUAAAAACAACUAAAAGCUCUGAACAUUAUGUAUAAAAUAACACAAGAACACUCUGAAAGGUGGAAAGAACUGGGUAGAACAGUUAGAGACCUCAGGAUAUGUGAAACAACAUGGUGGUGACUUCCUUAGGUUUUUCUUUUUACCUCAUAUAUCCCAGGCUAAAGACAAAAAAUAAAAAUGGCAGACUUCAGCUCUAACAUAUCCAUAGUGCAGUAAAUGUAAAUGACCUAAAUACAUCAAUUAAAAAACAGAGACUGGCAGACUCAACUACAUGAUGUCCAUAGAAAGCUCAUUUUAUUUUUUUCUUUUUGAGACAGGGUCUCGCUUUGUCACUUAGGCUGGAGUGCUGCACAAACACAUUCAUAGCAGCUUUAUUCAUAAUAGCCAAAAACUGGAAACAAUCAGGCAUCCUUCAACAGAUAAAUAAAGUGUAGUCUACCUAUACCAUAGAAUAUUACUCAGCAAUUUAAAGGAACAAACAACCAGGACUGGUGGCUCACACCUGUAAUCUGGGCACUUUGGGAGGCCAAGGCAGGUGGAUCACAAGGUCAGGAGUUCGAGACCAGCCUGGCCAAAAUGGUGAAACCCCAUCUCUACCAAAAAUACAAAAAUUAGCUGGGUGUGGUGGUGUGCACCUACAAUCCCAGCUACUCUGGAGGCUGAGACAGGAGAACUGCUUGAACCUGGGAGGCGGAGGUUGCAGUGAGCCGAGACCACGCCAUUGCACUCCAGCCUGGGUGACAGAG
rnacentral:lncRNA from 1 species